rnacentral:rRNA from 1 species
CAGUUCGGAUCGCAGUCUGCAACUCGACUGCGUGAAGGUGGAGUCGCUAGUAAUCGCGGAUCAGCAACGCCGCGGUGAAUGCGUUCCCGGGCCUUGUACACACCGCCCGUCAAGUCAUGAAAGUGGGCAGCACCCGAAGACGGUGGCCUAACCCUUGUGGGGGGAGCCGUCUAAGGUGAGGCUCGUGAUUGGGACUAAGUCGUAACAAGGUACC